rnacentral:rRNA from 1 species
GAUCAUGGCUCAGGAUGAACGCUGGCGGCGUGCCUAACACAUGCAAGUCGAACGAAGCAUACGGACCGGAGAUUCGUCGAAGGACUGUAUGACUUAGUGGCGGACGGGUGAGUAAUGUAUGAGCAACCUGCCUUUCAGAGGGGGACAACAGUUGGAAACGACUGCUAAUACCGCGUAACGUAUCGUGGGGGCAUCCUCGUGAUACCAAAGGAGCAAUCCGCUGAAAGAUGGGCUCAUAUCUGAUUAGCUUGUUGGCGGGGUAACGGCCCACCAAGGCGACGAUCAGUAGCCGGACUGAGAGGUUGAACGGCCACAUUGGGACUGAGAUACGGCCCAGACUCCUACGGGAGGCAGCAGUGGGGAAUAUUGGGCAAUGGGCGAAAGCCUCGACCCAGCAACGCCGCGUGAAGGAAGAAGGUCUUCGGAUUGUAAACUUCUUUUAUGAGGGACGAAGGACGUGACGGUACCUCAUGAAUAAGCCACGGCUAACUACGUGCCAGCCGCGGC